rnacentral:rRNA from 1 species
CGGUUGAUCCUGCCGGACCCUACUGCUAUCGGGGUGGGACUAAGACAUGCGUGUCGAACGACCCCAAGCCAACAUGAGGUCGUGGCAUACGGCUCAGUAACACGUGGCUAACCUACCCUCGAGACAGGGACAACCCCGGGAAACUGGGGCUAAUCCCAGAUAGAUGAAGACCCCUGGAACGGGUCCUCGUCCAAAAGGCACCGCGGUUACGCUCUGCAGUGUCGCUCAAGGAUGGGGCCGCGUCCGAUCAGGCUGUUGGUGAGGUAAUGGCUCACCAAACCUAUAACCGGUACGGGCCGUGGGAGCGGGAGCCCGGAGAUGGGAACUGAGACAAGGUCCCAGGCCCUACGGGGCGCAGCAGUUACGAAAACUUGUCAAUGCACGAAAGUGUGAACGGGCUACCCCGAGUGCCGUCCGCUGAGGAUGGCUUUUCUCUGCUUUAAGAAGGCAGAGGAAUAAGGCGAGGGCAAGUCUGGUGUCAGCCGCCGCGGUAACACCGGCGGCCCGAGUGGUAGCCGUUUUUAUUGGGUUUAAAGGGCCCGUAGCCGGCCUAUUAAGUCUCUUGGGAAAUCUGGCGGCUUAAUCGUCAGGCGACCAAGAGAUACUGGUAGGCUUGGGACCGGGAGAGGUGGGAGGUACUCCAGGGGUAGGGGUGAAAUCUCGUAAUCCUUGGGGGACCACCGAUGGCGAAGGCAUCCCACCAGAACGGGUCCGACGGUGAGGGACGAAAGCUGGGGGCACGAACCGGAUUAGAUACCCGGGUAGUCCCAGCUGUAAACGAUGCUCGCUAGGUGUCAGGUGCGGUGCGACCGCAUCUGGUGCCGCAGUGAAAACUUGAAGCGAGUCACCUGGGAAGUACGGUCGCAAGGUUGAAACUUAAAGGAAUUGGCGGGGGAGCACUACAACGGGUGGAGCCNUGCGGUUCAAUUGGAGUCAACGCCGGGAACCUUACCGGGGGCGACAGCAGGAUGAAAGCCAGAUUGAUGGUCUUGCUGGACGAGCUGAGAGGAGGUGCAUGGCCGUCGCCAGUUCGUGCCGUGAGGUGUCCUGUCAAGUCAGGCAACGAUCGAGACCCACACCCUCUGUUGCCACUGAGGAGUUUUCCAAGGGGCACUCUGGGGGGACUGCCGUCGAUAAGACGGAGGAAGGGGUGGGCUACGGCAGGUCAGUAUGCCCCGAAUCCUCCGGGCCACACGCGAGCUGCAAUGGCAGGUACAAUGAGUUCCAACCUCGAAAGGGGGAGGCAAUCCCGAAAGCCUGCCGUAGUUGGGAUUGAGGGUUGUAACCCACCCUCAUGAACAUGGAAUCCCUAGUAAUCGCGCGUCAUCAGCGCGCGGUGAAUACGUCCCCGCUCCUUGCACACACCGCCCGUCGUUCCACUCGAGUGGGCUUUGGGUGAGGCGUGGUCUUGUUGGCUGCGUCGAAUCCAUGGUUCGUGAGAGGGGAAAAGUCGUAACAAGGUAGCC